rnacentral:misc_RNA from 1 species
GAUGAAGAACGCAGCGAAAUGCGAUACGUAAUGUGAAUUGCAGAAUUCAGUGAAUCAUCGAAUCUUUGAACGCAUAUUGCGCUCUCUGGUAUUCCGGAGAGCAUGCUUGUUUGAGUAUCAGUAAACACCUCAACUUCCAUAUCUUUUUUGAAAUGGGAGUUGGACUUGAGUGAUCCCAACGCUUUUCCUCACCGAAAAGUGGCGGGUUACUUGAAAUUCAGGUGCAGCUGGACUUUUCUCUUAGCUAUAAGCAUAUCUAUUUAGUCUGCCUAAAAAACAGAUUAUUACCUUUGCUGCAGCUAACAUAAAGGAGAUUAGUUCUUGUGCUGACUGAUGCAGGAUUCACAAAGACAGGCUUCGGCCGACUUUGUAAACUCGAUCUCAAAUCAAGUAAGACUACCCGCUGAACUUAAGCAUAUCAAUAAGCGGAGGA